CUUUAUUUGGUCUGUACUUUCUGCUUCCAAUCUGGGAAUUUUUCCAAGAAAACACUGACUGAAAUACAGUCAGAAUUUAUAUAUGCAUUUACAUUAGGCUCCAACAAUAAGAUUCAGCCUUUUUCAAAACUGUCACUUGCAUAGCCAAUAAACUAGUGUCUCAAAAAUCCAUUUAAUUUUCCAUACUUCCCAAAACCAUUUCAAUGCGAUGAUCUCUUUUGGCAUAUCUUCCCAAGAGAUUGCUAGUUUUGCUGUGAUGGUCCAUUUCCAGAAUCUGGCAGCAAUGCGAGAACCAUUAGGAGGCUUUGAAAUGUAGACCUUCUAAGUAGGGCAAAGGCAAGGAAGACGACUGCAGAGGGAAUGCCAGAAGCAUUACCGAGUGGAUGAGAGAAUGCAGGGAAGGAAAAUUUCCACUUCACAAAGACAUUUUAAAGAGACGGUGUUUGGGGAUGAUGAUGCCACAGAAAGACUCACAACUCAAAAUCUCACAACAGGAUUCAGUAGUUUAACAAAUUCAACUCCAAAUUGUCCCCCAGACAAUCACUGCAGACUCCUCCCGGUGGCAAUUGCCUGUAUCUGAGGAUUUUACAUCUGUCUUUCGUCACUGUCGGUACUGCCACAAAAACACUCUCAUAAAAAGGGAGGCAGAACUGCAUCAGGCUCUAAAACAACACUCAGCUCACCCCUCGCGCAACAACCCG
rnacentral:lncRNA from 1 species